GGCUGGUCCGAUGGCAGUGGGUUAUCAGAAUUUAUUAACAUUAGUGUCACUAAAGUUGGUAUACCACCCCUCCCCCACUGCUAAAUUUGACUGGCUUUAA
ensembl:misc_RNA Y_RNA Y RNA